GUCUCUGUGGCGCAAUCGGUUAGCUCGUUCGGCUGUUAACUGAAAGGUUGGUGGUUCAACCAACCCAGGGACG
rnacentral:tRNA from 1 species